rnacentral:rRNA from 1 species
UGGGGAAUUUUGGACAAUGGGCGAAAGCCUGAUCCAGCAAUGCCGCGUGUGUGAAGAAGGCCUUCGGGUUGUAAAGCACUUUUGUCCGGAAAGAAAUCCUUGGCUCUAAUACAGUCGGGGGAUGACGGUACCGGAAGAAUAAGCACCGGCUAACUACGUGCCAGCAGCCGCGGUAAUACGUAGGGUGCAAGCGUUAAUCGGAAUUACUGGGCGUAAAGCGUGCGCAGGCGGUUUGCUAAGACCGAUGUGAAAUCCCCGGGCUCAACCUGGGAACUGCAUUGGUGACUGGCAGGCUAGAGUAUGGCAGAGGGGGGUAGAAUUCCACGUGUAGCAGUGAAAUGCGUAGAGAUGUGGAGGAAUACCGAUGGCGAAGGCAGCCCCCUGGGCCAAUACUGACGCUCAUGCACGAAAGCGUGGGGAGCAAACAGGAUUAGAUACCCUGGUAGUCCAGCGCCCUAAACGAUGUCAACUAGUUGUUGGGGAUUCAUUCUUAGUAACGUAGCUAACGCGUGAAGUUGACCGCCUGGGGAGUACGGUCGCAAGAUUAAAACUCAAAUGAAUUGACGGGGUCAUAGCUGUUUCCU